AACAAACGCUGGCGGCGUGUCUUAAGCAUGCAAGUUGAGCGGCAAGGAGGAGAGAUCCUCCCUAGAGCGGCGGACUGGUGAGUAACGCGUGGGUAAUCUAUCUUAGGCAUGGGGAUAGUCACUAGAAAUAGUGGGUAAUACCGAAUAAGUUCCAUAAGGGGAGGACUUAUGGAAGAAAGGUGCUACGGCACUGGCCUUAGGUGAGCUCGCGUCCCAUUAGCUAGUUGGUGAGGUAAAGGCCCACCAAGGCGAUGAUGGGUAGCCGGCCUGAGAGGGUGUACGGCCACACUGGGACUGAGAUACGGCCCAGACUCCUACGGGAGGCAGCAGCUAAGAAUAUUCCGCAAUGGACGGAAGUCUGACGGAGCGACGCCGCGUGGAUGAAGAAGGCCGAAAGGUUGUAAAGUUUCUUUUGCUAGGGGAGAAUAAGUGGUGGGAGGGAAUGCCUGCACGAUGACAAGGACUAGCGAAUAAGUCCCCGGCCAACUACGUGCCAGCAGGCCGCGGUAA
rnacentral:rRNA from 1 species